GAUGAAGAACGUAGCGAAAUGCGAUAAGUAAUGUGAAUUGCAGAAUUCAGUGAAUCAUCGAAUCUUUUAACGCACAUUGCGCCCGCCAGUAUUCUGGCGGGCAUGCCUGUUCGAGCGUCAUUUCAACCCUCAAGCUCUGUCUUGCGCUUGGUGUUGGGGAUCGGCCCUGCCCGCCAGCCCGGGCGGGCCGCCCCCGAAAUGAAUCGGCGGUCUCGUCGCAGCCUCCUCUGCGUAGUAAUUCAGUUAUCCUCGCACUUGGAGCGCGGCGCGGCCACUGCCCGUAAAACGCCCAACUUCUCAAGAGUUGACCUCGAAUCAGGUAGGAAUACCCGCUGAACUUAAGCAUAUCAAUAAGCGGAGGA
rnacentral:misc_RNA from 1 species